UACGGGGGGGGUAAGCGUUGUUCGGAAUUACUGGGCGUAAAGGGCGCGUAGGCGGCCUUCUAAGUCGAACGUGAAAUCCCCGGGCUCAACCCGGGAACUGCGUCCGAUACUGGAAGGCUUGAAUCCGGGAGAGGGAUGCGGAAUUCCAGGUGUAGCGGUGAAAUGCGUAGAUAUCUGGAGGAACACCGGUGGUGAAGGCGGCAUCCUGGACCGGCAUUGACGCUGAGGCGCGAAAGCCAGGGGAGCAAACGGG
rnacentral:rRNA from 1 species